rnacentral:rRNA from 1 species
GUACACGCUGUGACUAGCAUAUCAAUAAGCGGAGGAAAAGAAACUAACAAGGAUUCCCCUAGUAACGGCGAGUGAAGCGGGAAGAGCUCAAAUUUGAAAUCUUAAAGGGUUUCCCUUUACGAAUUGUAGUUUAAAGAAGUGUUUUCUGUUGAGGUUUUGGUAAAAGUUCUUUGGAAUAGGACAUCAUAGAGGGUGAGAAUCCCGUAUUUGACCUUUACUUUCAACUUUGUGAUACACUUUCAAAGAGUCGGAUUGUUUGGGAAUGCAGUCCAAAAUGGGUGGUAAAUUUCAUCUAAAGCUAAAUAUUGGCGAGAGACCGAUAGCGAACAAGUACCGUGAGGGAAAGAUGAAAAGAACUUUGAAAAGAGAGUUAAACAGUACGUGAAAUUGUCAAAAGGGAAGCGUUUGACACCAGUGUUGUUUUUCUGAAAAUCAAUUAAAGAACUGUUUAUGCUAAGCUGUUUAGACUUUAUCAGCUAUCUGUUUAGUUUUGAGCUUUUCUUUAAUGUCACUUUUCAGUUAACAAGUCAACAUCAAUUUCUUUUGCUGUAAAAAAGCUUGAGGAGGGUGGCUUGAGAUUCGUCUUAAGUGUUUAUAGCCUCUUGCCUAUGCAGUCGGAGAGAUUGAGGUCUGCAGCGUAGAUCCUUCGGGGCUAAAUGCAUUUGUGCUAAGUUAUAGCAUUUUAUAGACAACUUGUUGACUAUGAUUUGUCUUGUAGCUUACUCGCUUAUGUUAUUUUACCUACGCUUAGGAUGUUGAAGAUGUAGCACAUCAU